GCCACCUACAAGGAGAGAAACACCCCCUUAGUUUCACAGAGACUCAAAGGCGGCCUUGGGAAACAGAGCCGGCGUUAUGGGUCUGGGGGGAGAGGGGCCCUGGCGAUGGACCUGGUUCAAAUCUGCACGGGGCAAUGAACGCACUCAAAUAAUGUGACCUUGGCGUGCCGACAUGAAGGCUGUGUCUCCAUUCCCUCAUCUCCACAAUGAGGACAGUGGUGGUGGCAACAAUAAUAGUAAUAACAGUGACAAUGACAGUUCACAUUGACGGGCCGCCUCCUAAAAGCAGGACCCUGUCGUGCGUGUGUCUAGGACACCAUCUCAUUUCCCGGCCACGUUAGAAAGUCACCCAAGGGGUCCUCACUGAAAAUCCAGCGGCAGUCCCCAGGCUCGCCGGACAGGAGGUAGCACCAGUUGGUUUCUGUUGGUGGAGAUGCUUGAUAUUCAACAUGAAGUGUCUACAUUCUCCAUGGUAUGUAAAUCACACUCGAAUAGACCAAUGGGACUCGCUAUUUAGAGGGUUUUGGCACAACCAAGAGCCCUUUUGUGCUUCAAAUAGCCACCAUUAUUAAAAAUAGUUGAGCUGGCACACUUUUCGUGUGUUUGGGGCGGGAGGAGUGUCAAGUAUUUUCUGUCUUUAGUAUGGUGGGAAAUUCAUUGGUGGUCAUAAUUGUUGAACAGUGCUCCAUUCCUGGGUGUAUCUCACCUCUCUCUGGGGCACUGAGCUUGUUAAUUAUAUGGACUCACUCGAUUGAUUCUCUCCCAAGCCCACACCAGGCCUUAGGUCUUGGGAGCAGUCUUCAUCCUUGGUGCCUUUGACAGGAAGGGAAUGAGCAGAGGCCCCCAGCCAGCAGGGGGCGCUGUGCGGCUUCUAGUAUGGGUGCUUCCUGGGCUAACCGUGAGGAAGCCUUUGAAACGCAGGCAAAUCAGCUCCCGCUUUCUUCCCAUCGGAUCACGAUUUGUACAAAACAGAAAUUCAGAGAACCUGAACUUACUGAGCUGGCUCACGAGUGCAACCGUUUUUCCCAAGUCCUCUCAAGGUGCAGGACAGGUAGAUAAGGGGCAGGAGGGGAAUGUGGCCAGAGGUAAGCUGGAAAGUGGCCCAGCCUGGCCAGGUAGGAUUUUAUGCUAAGGACCUUUGCAAGUGGCUUGCUGAGAUCCUGUGUUAAAUGACCUUGGGGGGUCACUGAUGGGCUGGAUGCUUUGUUGGGGAGCUGCUCUUCACGUGUUGGGGGGGGGCACUGGCUUGGAUACCAACUGCUAUCAAUCUCAGUUCUGCUGCAGGAUUCUAAAUGGAGGAUCCUAAAACUCGGGAUGCUUGGGCCUUUGGAAGUUCAGCAGGAGGGGGGAAGGGCAAUGCUGGGCCCGUCCACCUGUUCCGCCAGGGUCCCCUACAUGCCAUGCAUUUGUAUCCGUGUGCAGAACCAACACAUGCAUGCACGCAUACACCUGGCAGGGGUUCAGUAACAGGUUCACAGAUGAAAGAUCUGAUAACCUCUAGCAUUACAUGGUAAAAACAAAUAGCUAAUGUUUACUCUUGCAGAAGAGAGUAAACAUUCUCAGUAGUGAGCUGCCUGAGCUAAUUAACAAGGCUCAUUCAUUCCACACAUUUAUGCCAUGUGUCGGUGUUGUUUUAGGCUGUGGAGAGUGACCGUAUGGGUAGCAGAGUCCCCCUGCUCACUGGGAGACAGUUUGAGAGCCGUGGCCUAAGUCGGGUACAAUGAUCAGGACGGCCUCUCUGGUGAUCUGACAUCUAAACAGAGACUCGAAUGAUGAUAGGAAGAACAAAGAUCCAGUGGCAGCAUGUCUCAGGAAGGAGGGAAUAGUACAUGCCAAGGCCCUGAGGCAGAAAAAGGGAUGGCACAUUCAAGGAAGGGUAAGAAGACCCUAAAGGAGGAUGUGGAGACCCCAAAGACCUCAUCAGGAGCUGUCACACCAAGGACUCUGUAGUAUGUCCAGUAAGAAGCUGUUCCAGCCUGUGAUAUUGAAGGGUUAAGUGCUUCCAUGUAUGUUUUUAAACGAUGACCCGAGCAGCUGUUGGAAAGUAGAUCUUGCAGAGAAAAGCCAAGGAACAAAGAGACAUGUUAGGCAGUGAUGUUAGCCACUGGAGAUGGCCAUGGCUUGGCUCCAGGUGGCCACUGGGGACAUGAGAUGUAGUCCAACAACAGGCCAGGAGAAUCCAUGGAGAUACUUCGUGUGUUAGGGUCGGUCAGGGAGGAGGCUGGAGACUUUGGCUAGAGCCCAAUGUUAAGGCUGUAGCGCUCGGGCCCCUUCUUGCCUUUGCACCAGGUCCUCCUCUAGAGGACCACAAAGGGACCCGCACCCCCAGCCUUCCUGGUCCUCGACACCCUCCUCUGCUCCUCUCUGACAUCCAAGCUUCAUUCAAAGCCCUGCGUUUUCCCUCCUCCCCCUCACUUCUAGGAUUUACCAUCCACCCCCCGUCAGCUCUCCAUUACCGUCUCUCUCAUGCACUUUUGCUAAUUGUUGUGCACUUAUUAGAAAAUUGACUUCCAGGCAGGACAGGAACUGUAGUAACUUUUGCUUUUAGAACAGCAAGGAUCGCCCUCAAAAGGCUGUUUACUUCCUCUCUCGCCCUUGCAUGGCAAUUAAGGGUCGCUAGCAGGGCUGAUUUGUGAUAUCUUGAAUAUCUUGGUUUUAGCCUCCUGGGCCGAAGAGCCAGCUUCCUCCUUGAGCAGGAGGAAAUGCGAGAUCCAUGCUCUUCCUCUCAAUUAUCUUUUUUUCCCCUAAAUUUUAUAACAUUGGGGAUGGUUUAGUGCUACAGGGCAUGCGUCUUAAAAACAUAAGCCUUAGGUACAAUUGGGUUCUUUUUUGUGCUAAAUCAUAACUGAUUUUAAUACUACAUUCCCGUCUCUAACCUUGUUCAGAAUAUUGUUGGUUACGUUUAGAUCGUCAACUUGGAGUCAGAUAGUCCUCCCAGAGGUGCGAGGCUCGAUUUGGAGACCUUGGUUCAACCUAGCAUUAAGGCAUCUGCAAGUUUUCUUGCAGUUUAUGUACUGUGGUUCAGGGAGUAUGCUCUAUAAGCUGGAGUUUGGUAAUCUGUGUUCAAAAAGAUUUCCAGUGGAUUCCCAAUCCCUUUUUUUCUAAUGCUAUUUAAGUUAUACCUUUCUGUGAGAUAUAAAUGAGAGAUAAGGAACAUAUUUCAUCUAUGGAUUCUCUGUCAGAGGCAUUGUGUGCUAAAUAUUGUAGUUAGCUAAUUAUUCAGCCCUGAAUUUCCUGAUCCGCUUUUUACACCGGAGGAUCUAGGAGAGAUCUGUGCUGUCGAUUACAUUAUCAAGGGGCUGGAGGACUGCACAGAGAGCAUGCCUGCUAGGUGUGCAGCUGAUUUGAAACCGGGGUGGAUGAGGAGGAGACACGAGGACCUAGGACGAGCCGGCUGCUCCGUGUCCCUUGUUUUUAACACUCGCAGCAACCUUGUAAUGCUGGUGAGACCAUCUGUGUAGUCAUUUGGCUCAGUGACUUUGGAGUCAGCUAACCAGGUCAGUGUGACCUGGAGAAAAGUCAGCUGCAUUUUCUGAGUGUUAUCUCUCCUAUUUAAAAGGUGGACGAGCACCGUCUCCACUUCCCGAGCUGGUAUGAAUUAUAAGAGGUGCUGUGCGUGGUGCUCGGAGCCCAGGAAGCGCUCCAUAAGUGACAGCCAUCUUUCUCGCUGCCGUUCCCAUUUAUAGACCAGGAGACAGGGGCUCGGACCACCCGAGUGUCGCGUUAGGGCCACAUGUGGAAGGGCUAGAGUCAGAACCCAGAGCCCUGCAGCCGCAGAGCCCGCUCUUUACACCACGCUAUGCAAGGGAGUGAGGUUUCAAAAGACCUUGCUGGGCUGUCGCUGCAAAGUGAGAAAAGAUUCUGUGCAACAGGGAUCAGCGCAGAGAUAUUCAUUAGUGCUGAAAAAUAUUAUACAAACAGAGGGAUAGACAGCGCUGGUUUGAUUAUGUCGAGCGGACAGAAAACUUCUAGAAGCGGCAAGGACACGGGCUUCAUGGAGAGAAGGCUGCCUGUCGGUAGGACGUGCCAGCAUCUCAGGCUGCAUUAGCACGUCCUGUCCGGGUCGGUGAGGACAAUAAUUACCCCAGCACACUCGGCUUCAAUCACAAGACCUCCACCGCACUGUGACCAGCAGACAGAGAAUGACAUUUCCAGCAGGACAGAGCGUGUCCUUCUACUGAAGCCGAAGGCCUGGGGGACUGGGCGUUAGGGAGGCUGACAGGAAGGUGUCAGGACCCUGGGGAAACGGGUCCAUCUCUGUGAUUAUUUGCAGACCUCCAUGAAAGAAAUGAAUUUCCUUGGGUGCCACAGGAAAGGGUAACUGGGUUUAAAAUAAGUAUGAAAAAAUACACAUUUUAGCUGAAGAGGAUAUUAAGGCAUUUGGUUCUGUAAGAUCUAUGAACUAUUUGGCUUUGUUGGAUAUUAAGAUAAUUUCUAAUGACCAGGACACAGCACGUGGGCUGUUUGGGACAGGGAAUGAGCCUCUCCCCAUCCAAAAGAAAUUUAAGAAGAGUCCAGGUAACUAUUUUUUUUUUUUUUUUUUUUUUUUGCAAUAUCCCACUGAAAGUAAUUAUCCACAGUGAGGAGAUGCAGACUUAAGAGAUUUCCAGGGAGGCGCUGUGACCCAGUGGGCACUGAACAGUUCUUCGGGGCGAGGCCCAGUGUGGAGGGCAGCUCAUAAAAACCUCUCUCCUUCCCCCUUUCUCAUGACCAACACCGUCUCCUUUGUGCUGGGAGCAUCUUUUGUUUUUAGAGCUGGCCACGGAACCAGGGCCUCAUGCAUGCUGGGCGGGCCCCACUCCUGAGCUACACCCCCAGCCCCACUGCGACCUUCGUAAAGAGAAAGCGGAAAACUCAGCUGCGGUCGUUGCUGAUGAGCGAGUUGUUCGCCUUCUCGAUGUUGACGUCAUCCCCCACGCAGAACACAUCACAGGCUGCCUGUGACACGAGAGGCUUCCGGUGACUGCUUUCGGCUGAGAGGGGCUCCUGCCUCGGAGCUCCAGGUCACGGGAUGUAUUUCAGCAUCCUUCCUCCUGCCCUCCAACUCUGCCUGUCUCCUCUCCUCCUUCUUCCUUUACCUCUCCACACACUCACUCAUCCCUCCAUCCCUCCAUCCAUCCAUCCAUCCAUCAUUUCAUCCCUCCACCCACCCACUCACCCAUUUGUCCAUCCAUCCAUUCACAAUCCAUCUGUUCAUCCAUCCAUCCAUCCACCACACCCUCCCUACCACCCAGCCAUGUAUCCACGCAUCUGUCCACCUAUCCUGUAUUUUUAAAAUACCCUCAAUAUACUGAGCACAUCAUGUUUACCAUUAACUUUAUGACUUAACCUUUACUUACCCUAUAACUCUAUGCUGAAAUUUAUUUCUAAAAUCAACUUGCAUAGAGGCUUAACAUUAAAGAGGAAAGUAAAUAUCAUAGAAUUUCCUAUUUGUCUUCCUUAAAAUAUUUAAAAAAUUAUAUAAAGACAAAAAUGCUGGAUGUCUGGAUUUGCAUUUUUCUUUUUUUAAAAUCAAACUCACUCAUUCUUUGGUGUUAAUAAUCCUAAGAAUUAUUGCUCAAUUAUUAUUUUUGCUAUUGUUUUUGAGUUGGAUUCUAUUUUUCUUAAGCUAGCUUCGGAUUCCUGGGCUCAAGUGAUCUACCAAGUAGCUAGGACUACAGGUACACGUUACUACAGAACUAGUUUUUAAUAAAAAUCUAUUUUCCAAUACUGGGAAUUGAACUCAGGACCUUGUGCUUGCC